rnacentral:rRNA from 1 species
AUGAGCUCCUCCGAUCCGGUCGUCGUCCACAGCGGCGGCUGCCACUGCGGGAAAGUGCGGUGGCAGGCCGAGGCGCCGGCGAGCGUGGCGGCGGGCACCUGCAACUGCGCCAUGCGCGGGAUCACCUUCUUCACGCUGCCCAACGACAAGUUCCAGCUCCAGCCCGGCUCCGACGAGUUCCUGACCACCUACACCUUCGGCACGGGCACGGCCAAGCACAUCUUGUGCAAGGUGUGCGGGAUCACGUCCUUCUACAAGCAGCGGGGGAACCCCGGCGAGGUCGCGCUCUCCGUCAGCUGCGUCGAUCCCGGCACCAUCACGCACGUCCACGUCACGCCGUUCGACGGAUCCAGCUGA